AUAAGCUUUCUGGGGAUACCAGCUGGGAAAGAGGAGCAGAAAUUUUUGGAGAGGAGAAAGUUGGAGGUGUUAUAUGCAAGUGCAGGAUAGUCAGGAAGAGCCGGACUGUUUCUACAUCUGUCCUUUUCCUUCUGGUUUCAUUCGAGUCACUCUGCCAAGGGACCAAUUCUCCCCCCUUCAGCGAAACCCCCGCAAGGAGCGAGAGGUCACACUGCCACCGCGUGUUCCCUUGCUGGAACGGCACAACCUACGCCGCCUCCCUGUCACUGCUCCUAGGAAGGUAAAACUUGCAAAGCAGGCUUGGAGAGUAACCAGGAAGGAGUUAACUCCCUGCUUGAAAAUCUGAGGCUCAGAGAUGCACAUAUCCAGUUAUUGGAACAAAGGUUGUGCUCUGCAUCUGUCAGUUCUUGAGUCAUCUGGGCACUGGGGAGAGAGCCAGAAAAGAUCUAGGAAGACGUGUUCAAAUAGUCUUAUCAGAUGCUAUGCUAAAAAGAGCAAGAAUAUAACGUGACUUGUUUGAAAUGAAAGGAAUGAAUCAGAGCUAAUUCCAGUAGGCUGAGAUCACUGCUUUGAGUAAUACGCUUAUUCAGUUGUCUCAGGUGUUGUUUUCCAUGUGUUAGCAUUUUGGUCACUGUAGUAAAUGAACAUGUUGAAUAUGUAGGUGGAGGUAUAAAUAUUCUUAGACUGUUGACACAGGAACACACCACUAGUGUUUAUUGAAGCUGUUAUUGUAUGCAGUAUCAUUUAGAGCCUCUGAAUUUUAUCAGGGAACUCUUAAACCCCCUUUUCAGGGCUGCAUGUGAGAGAAUUCUGUCUUCAGCUUAUGGUACGAGUAAACAAUACAUCCAAAUGACUGAUGUCUCAUCUUUGUACUCAAGUUGGGGAUGGAGGAAUCAAAUAUUGUCCCUGAGAAAAUGUGGCAACCCAGAAACUGAAAACUUUUUUAUUUUUUGGAUUCUAAUUCUCAGAUGUAUGAGAUGUUGUUGCUAAGGACAAUGAUAGGCACCAUUUUAAACUAUUCUUUUUUCUAGUGUUAGUAGACAGGCAUUUAUUGGUCCCAUAUUUCUCCCAUCAAAGCAUCUUUUGAGCUAAAACUAAAAGUUUCUGGGUUUUCUUUUAAAUAAGAGCUGUCAAUAUCCCUUCUCCAGGUAAAAAUAAAAUUAUUAGCUUCAUUAAAAUAACCUAAUUUCUUUGCCUAUUAUAUUUUAUGAAGUUGUAUUAAAUGGGCUAAAUGCACUCAAGGAGGACAUCUGCUGAUUUCCUACUGUAAAGUAGGACUAACUGUAUCUAAAAUAUCAUAGAUACCUAGUUAUCUGCUUUUAAUAAGUUUUUUUAAUGCACGAUGAGAGGCUAUGUGUAUAUUAUACUGUUUUUCAGAACCUGAGGAUGUACACACGAAAGAUCUGUUAUAGGUACUCAUCCAUGUAGUGCUAGAUUAAUGCAUCCAAACCAGUCACCAUAAGAAAAUGACAGUGUGCACUAAAAUAUAUAAGAGAGUAAACUGGAAGAAAACCGAAGUGUACAUGCAUAUUCAUUUUGGUUCAGAUCCUUUACUCUUCUUUAGCAGCUUUGUACACAAAGCAGUAACAAAGCUGGCUGGCCUGUUUUCCUGGGAAAGGAGAAUCUCAGACAGACUCUAGUUGCCAGAACAGAUUAUAAGCAACCUGUGUUUAAGACUAGCAGGUCCAGCUGGUCAGCAAGAACUGCUGUUGAAAGCCACUCUAUGAACACAAAGAUUUCCCAAUGAGCUUUUCUUUUUCUUUUUUUUUUGUUUUUUGGUACUUUCUUUUUUUGGGUAAGUCAAACUGAUGAACUUUUUAAGGGCACAUUUCUGGUAGUACUUUGCCAUUGGUAUGCCAGCUCAGAAAGAGUACAGUCCAACACAAUCCUGGAUCAAAAUAGGGACGUAUUUUGUUUAGUGGUGCACUUGGCAGUGUUAGGUUGGACUCGAUGAUCUUAACGGGCUUUUUCAACCAAAAUGAUUCUGUGAUUCUGUGAAAUGCAACCAGUUUGGCAGUAUAAAUAGCUGCCUUAUUUCCUGCCCCUUUCGAUUUGUAUAACUCCCUCUGAUUUUUUAAGGUUUUGUUGUUAGCCCAGAGAGUGGGUCGUUAGAAUAUGAUGAAAAAGUUAAUAUUCUAGGCAUUUCUAGCACAGUUUAGGGAGUCCUGCAUCAGACCAAAGAUCUAGGUAGCCUACCACGCUGUCAUGGUGGCCAGAAGUUGAUGCCUAGUAUGAAAACAGUGAAAGGUGGAAUAGUACUCCCUUAGUAUACUUCUGUGGCUUACAACAAUGUGCAGCUCAGGGUUAUCUUUAGUCAGUGACAGUACCUCUGUGUUUAAUUGUCUUUAAUGACUUUCCCUCGUGAAUUUGAAUGUCUUUUUACAUCACUAUUGCCCUUUUGUAAUACGUUAUACAGCUUAAUUAUAGGCCAUGAGGAGAUAUAUUCCCUUUUGUGUUUUUUUGAAUAUGCUAGAUGAUAAUUGGUAUUAUGAAAAAAAAGGGAAUAAUAGUUUCUUAUUCAUCCUCUCUGUGCAACUGAUUAUACAGUUUCCUAUUAUGUUUCUCUGCAAUUGGUUUUCCAGGCUGAAGAGUCCUAACCUUUUAAUAACUCUUUGCAUGCAAAUUGUUUUAGACUGUAGAUCACCUUUAUUGACCUCCACUUUUCUAGCUCAGCUCUACCAUUUUUAAGAUGAGAUGCUAGAACCGCACACAGUAUCUG